rnacentral:rRNA from 1 species
CAGCCACACUGGAACUGAGACACGGUCCAGACUCCUACGGGAGGCAGCAGUGGGGAAUCUUGCGCAAUGGGCGAAAGCCUGACGCAGCGACGCCGCGUGAGCGAUGAAGGCCUUCGGGUUGUAAAGCUCUGUGGGGAGGGAAGAAUAAGGCUUGGCUAAUAUCCAAGUUGAUGACGGUACCUCCUUAGCAAGCACCGGCUAACUCUGUGCCAGCAGCCGCGGUAAGACAGAGGGUGCAAACGUUGUUCGGAAUUACUGGGCGUAAAGCGCGUGUAGGCGGCUAAGUAAGUCGGGCGUGAAAUCCCACGGCUCAACCGUGGAAGUGCACUCGAAACUGCAUAGCUAGAGUCCUGGAGAGGAAGGUGGAAUGCUUGGUGUAGAGGUGAAAUUCGUAGAUAUCAAGCGGAACACCGGUGGCGAAGGCGGCCUUCUGGACAGUGACUGACGCUGAGACGCGAAAGCGUGGGGAGCAAACAGGAUUAGAUACCCUGGUAGUCCACGCCGUAAACGAUGAGUGCUAGGUGUCACGGGCUUUGACCCUCGUGGUGCCGAAGCUAACGCGUUAAGCACUCCGCCUGGGGAGUACGGCCGCAAGGCUAAAACUCAAAAGAAUUGACGGGGGCCCGCACAAGCGGUGGAGCAUGUUGUUUAAUUCGACGCAACGCGAAGAACCUUACCUGGGCUAGAAAGUACAGGAACCUGGUUGAAAAAUCGGGGUGCCCUUCGGGGAAUCUGUGGUUAGGUGCUGCAUGGCUGUCGUCAGCUCGUGUCGUGAGAUGUUGGGUUAGGUCCCGCAACGAGCGCAACCCCUGUCGUUAGUUGCCAUCAUUAAGUUGGGCACUCUAACGAGACUGCCGACCUUUAAGUCGGAGGAAGGUGGGGACGACGUCAAGUCAUCAUGGCCCUUAUGUCCAGGGCUACAAACGUGCUACAAUGGUCAGUACAAAGGGUAGCGAACCCGCGAGGGGGAGCCAAUCUCAAAAAGCUGGCCUCAGUACGGAUAAGAGUCUGCAACUCGACUCUUUGAAGUCGGAAUCGCUAGUAAUCGCUGAUCAGCAUGGCAGCGGUGAAUACGUUCCCGGGCCUUGUACACACCGCCCGUCACACCAUGGGAGUCGAUUGCUCCAGAAGUGGCUGCGCCAACCCCCAGGGAGGCAGGUCCCCAAGGAGUGCUCGGUAACUGGGGUGAAGUCGUAACAAGGUAGCCGUAGGGGAACCUGCGGCUG